GCCAUGCCGCGUGCAGGAUGACGGUCCUAUGGAUUGUAAACUGCUUUUGUACGAGAAGAAACAUCCCGACGUGUCGGGACUUGACGGUAUCGUAAGAAUAAGGAUCGGCUAACUCCGUGCCAGCAGCCGCGGUAAUACGGAGGAUCCAAGCGUUAUCCGGAAUCAUUGGGUUUAAAGGGUCCGUAGGCGGUUUAGUAAGUCAGUGGUGAAAGCCCAUCGCUCAACGGUGGAACGGCCAUUGAUACUGCUAGACUUGAAUUAUUAGGAAGUAACUAGAAUAUGUAGUGUAGCGGUGAAAUGCUUAGAGAUUACAUGGAAUACCAAUUGCGAAGGCAGGUUACUACUAAUGGAUUGACGCUGAUGGACGAAAGCGUGGGUAGCGAACAGGAUUAGAUACCCUGGUAGUCCACGCCGUAAACGAUGGAUACUAGCUGUUGGGGGCAACUUCAGUGGCUAAGCGAAAGUGAUAAGUAUCCCACCUGGGGAGUACGUUCGCAAGAAUG
rnacentral:rRNA from 1 species